UACGUAGGGGGCGAGCGUUGUCCGAAGUUACUGGGCGUAAAGCGCACGUAGGCGGAUCUUUAAGUCAGGGGUGAAAUCCCAAGGCUCAACCUUGGAACUGCCUUUGAUACUGGGGAUCUCGAGUCCGGAAGAGGUUGGUGGAACUGCGAGUGUAGAGGUGAAAUUCGUAGAUAUUCGCAAGAACACCAGUGGCGAAGGCGGCCAACUGGUCCGGUACUGACGCUGAGGGGCGAAAGCGUGGGGAGCAAACAGG
rnacentral:rRNA from 1 species